AUGAACCAAACCGACGGCCAUCCCCAAAUCGCAGCCUUCACCAACAACCGUUUCACGCACCGCAAAGUCGUCGCUCAGCCCAACCGCCACCGAGAACCACCGGACGGAACCUCCCUCACGACAUCACCGCCGCCGGUUUUCUCUCUUCACAACCAAACCCACGCAUCGUUUCUUUCCUUGUGUUUUUUUGUUUUGUGUUUUAUGAAAUAA